rnacentral:rRNA from 1 species
AUGCCAGGAAUCCCACGUAGGCUGGCCGAGCACAACCUCAAUAUUCUAAACGGAUUCAAGUCGGUCAAGAAGACUCUUCGGCGUUUCUCUGAACCUAAGAGACAAGCUAUGGGAGAGGAACUAGCCAAGUUAUUGGAGGCCGGAUUCAUUAGAGAAAUAAAACACCCGGACUGGCUAGCAAACCUGGUGAUGGUACCAAAGAAGGACAAAUCCUGGUGCCUAUGUGUCGAUUUCAAGGACCUCAACAAGGCUUGCCCAAAGGAUCCCUUUCCCCUCUCCUGCAUUGAUCAAAUUAUCGAUGCUACCGCAGGACCCGAGUCAUUGUGUUUCCUCGACGCAUACUUCGACUACCAUCAAGUCAAGAUGGCGCAGUCCGACCAAGCCGCAACGGCUUUUAUCACACCAUACGGCCCCUUCUGUUUCAACACAAUGCCUUUUGGGCUUAAAAACGCCGACUCAACAUAUCAGCGCAUGAUUCAGACAUGUCUGGAGAAACAGAUCGGCAAAACAGUAGAGACAUACGUAGAUGAUGUGGUCGUCAAAACCAAAAAUGUCGACUCUCUAAUAGACGACUUGAGGCUCACAUUCGACAACCUCUGA